rnacentral:lncRNA from 1 species
GGCCAUUUUGUGCUCCUGGCCCUGAAGAUCUAGGCAGCUUCAACUUCCUCUCUUUUGGUAUACCUCCUUGCCUGUCUAGCAGCCAUGGAAAGAGCCAUGAAGAGACAUGAAGUCUCCCCAGCCCAAAGCCUGUGCUGAGCUCCCAGUUACAGCCAGUGCCAACUGUAUGCCAACAAGCCGUGUGUGUCAACCUUGAAAAUGGGCUCCUCCUCCUCCACUCUACCUGCCUGAAAGGAUGCCUUAUAUAGCAAAAAAGGCCUGUCCCUCCUUAACCCUAUACGGAUUGCAGAUUUAUCAGGGAGGAUGGCCAUGGAACAGUGAGAAUGAUGGGAAACUACCACACCCACAGCCACAUCAGGAAAACCCACCUGCAGAACCAGAAGAGCCACAGGUCACAUCCAAGUUGGCUGUGCCUCCAACUGUCUGUAUCAGAUGGAUAAUGGGGAUGACUCCUCCCUGUGCCUGGAUCAUAGAGGCUGGCACAGGCCAUGGGGAAGCUGCUGGAUCAAUCUGACAUCUGUUUGCAGACUGAUUGGAUGAGGAAGCCAAGAGAACAAUCAGAGUGAAGAUUUAGGAAGCUAUUGGAAUAAUUUAGAACCGUCUGGCAUCCUCCUGCAAAUAAGAUCUUCAUGAAAAUCCAGAGCCCUUUCAUGCCUCAAGAGUCCAAGCAAACAGCCAGCUGGCAAAAUGAACUUACUUGGUAUGUGACCAGGUGAGCAUUUCCUUACAAGAGUGCCAAGAGAGAGGAGUCUGAAGUCUGCCAAAAGGCAAAAGGAAGUAGAAGAGCCCACAUUUUUCCCAGCGCAGUCAAGAUUACUGGAACAUGUUGCCUGAUCCCCAGUGGAGGAAGAUGUGAACAUCCAAGGAAAAGCUCAGCUGUUGGAAUUCUGUCCAUUUUGAAACGUAGAGUCUCCCAUGGUUGUUGACUAAAAUCAGGCAAAUAUAUAGAGCCAAGACCAGAGUAUAUCAAAAGCUUUAGGUCAAUUUGCUGAAGAAUGAAAGGAGGAAUUCAUUGUCAAAAUGGAGUUUCAGUGGAG